AUUGAACGCUGGCGGCAUGCUUUACACAUGCAAGUCGAACGGUAACAGGCCGCAAGGUGCUGACGAGUGGCGAACGGGUGAGUAAUGCAUCGGAACGUGCCCAGUCGUGGGGGAUAACGCAGCGAAAGCUGCGCUAAUACCGCAUACGAUCUAUGGAUGAAAGCGGGGGACCGUAAGGCCUCGCGCGAUUGGAGCGGCCGAUGUCAGAUUAGGUAGUUGGGGGGGUAAAGGCUCACCAAGCCAACGAUCUGGAGCUGGUCUGAGAGGACGACCAGGGACACGGGGACUGAGAAACGGCGCAGACUCAUAGGGGAGGCAGCAGUGGGGAAGUUUGAACAAUGGGCGCAAGCCUGAUCAAGAAAUGCCGCGUGCAGGAAGAAGGCCUUCGGGUUGUAAACUGCUUUUGUACGGAACGAAACGGUCCUGGUUAAUACCUGGGGCUAAUGACGGUACCGUAAGAAUAAGCACCGGCUAACUACGUGCCAGCCGCCGCCGUAAAAC
rnacentral:rRNA from 1 species